UCCUGGCGGCGAGUGGCGAACGGGUGAGUAAUAUAUCGGAACGUGCCCAGUAGUGGGGGAUAGCCCGGCGAAAGCCGGAUUAAUACCGCAUGAGACCUGAGGGUGAAAGCGGGGGAUCGCAAGACCUCGCGCUAUUGGAGCGGCCGAUAUCAGAUUAGCUAGUUGGUGGGGUAAAGGCCCACCAAGGCAACGAUCUGUAGUUGGUCUGAGAGGACGACCAGCCACACUGGGACUGAGACACGGCCCAGACUCCUACGGGAGGCAGCAGUGGGGAAUUUUGGACAAUGGGCGCAAGCCUGAUCCAGCAAUGCCGCGUGCAGGAAGAAGGCCUUCGGGUUGUAAACUGCUUUUGUCAGGGAGGAAAUCCUCUGGGUUAAUACCUC
rnacentral:rRNA from 1 species